rnacentral:rRNA from 1 species
UACGGGGGGGGCAAGCGUUGUUCGGAAUUACUGGGCGUAAAGGGCUCGUAGGCGGCCAACUAAGUCGGACGUGAAAUCCCCAGGCUCAACCUGGGAACUGCGUCCGAUACUGGAUGGCUUGAAUCCGGGAGAGGGAUGCAGAAUUCCAGGUGUAGCGGUGAAAUGCGUAGAUAUGCGGAGGAACACCGAUGGCGAAGGCAAUCCCCUGGGCCUGCACUGACGCUCAUGCACGAAAGCGUGGGGAGCAAACAGG